UUUUGACUUUCGUGCUAGCAGCUAGUUUUCCUUUCCAGCUCAGAAAAAUUGGGAUCGAACUGAACAUUCUUCUACACUGUAAAAGUAUUAUACUUGUGCUCAAUUUUGUGAAUCUUCAAAGACAAAGUUCUGUAUAGGGUUAGUUCAGCCGUCUGCUAUCUAGCCUAGCUUCUAACAAUGAGGUUAUUUAUUUUAGGCCACAAGCCAUCUAUUUUCAUACAAAAAUUGAGUAUGACAAUGAGCCUAGAGUAUUACUCUUAUACGGUCGCUGUAGUACUGUAUAUCAUGUUUCACAGCCGUUCAAUCAUGGAAUAUUGCAAAUUCAUAAUUUUGAUUGGUUCCUCAACCAUUGAUAUAAUCCAUGGUAAAGAAAAAUACAAAACAAAAUUACAAAUCACGCA